AGCAGUAGCCACGGUAAUACGGAGGGUGCAAGCGUUAUCCGGAUUUAUUGGGUUUAAAGGGUCCGUAGGCGGAUCUGUAAGUCAGUGGUGAAAUCUCACAGCUUAACUGUGAAACUGCCAUUGAUACUGCAGGUCUUGAGUAAAUUUGAAGUGGCUGGAAUAAGUAGUGUAGCGGUGAAAUGCAUAGAUAUUACUUAGAACACCAAUUGCGAAGGCAGGUCACUAAGAUUUAACUGACGCUGAUGGACGAAAGCGUGGGGAGCGAACAGGAUUAGAUACCCCCGUAGUCCCUGUCUCUUAUAC
rnacentral:rRNA from 1 species